rnacentral:rRNA from 1 species
AUUGAACGCUGGCGGCAGGCCUAACACAUGCAAGUCGAACGAGUGGCGGACGGGUGAGUAAUUUCUGGGAAACUGCCUGAUGGAGGGGGAUAACUACUGGAAACGGUAGCUACUACCGCAUACCAUCCGAUGUUCCCAGAGGGGAUUAGCUUGUUGGUGGGGUAACGGCUCACCAAGGCGACGAUCCCUAGCUGGUCUGAGAGGAUGACCAGCCACACUGGAACUGAGACACGGCCCAGACUCCUACGGGAGGCAGCAGUGGGGAAUAUUGCACAAUGGGCGCAAGCCUGAUGCAGCAAUGCCGCGUGUAUGAAGAAGGCCUUCGGGUUGUAAAGUACUGUCAGCGGGGAGGCGUUACCCGAAGAAGAAGCACCGGCUAACUCCGUGCCAGCCGCCGCGGUAAUAC